AUUGAACGCUGGCGGCAUGCCUUACACAUGCAAGUCGAACGGCAGCAUGAUCUAGCUUGCUAGAUUGAUGGCGAGUGGCGACCGGGUGAGUAAUACAUCGGAACGUGCCCUGUAGUGGGGGAUAACUAGUCGAAAGAUUAGCUAAUACCGCAUACGACCUGAGGGUGAAAGUGGGGGACCGCAAGGCCUCAUGCUAUAGGAGCGGCCGAUGUCUGAUUAGCUAGUUGGUGAGGUAAAGGCUCACCAAGGCGACGAUCAGUAGCUGGUCUGAGAGGAAGAUCAGCCACACUGGGACUGAGACACGGCCCAGACUCCUACGGGAGGCAGCAGUGGGGAAUUUUGGACAAUGGGCGAAAGCCUGAUCCAGCAAUGCCGCGUGUGUGAAGAAGGCCUUCGGGUUGUAAAGCACUUUUGUCCGGAAAGAAAUGGCUCUGGUUAAUACCUGGGGUCGAUGACGGUACCGGAAGAAUAAGGACCGGCUAACUACGUG
rnacentral:rRNA from 1 species